rnacentral:lncRNA from 1 species
CUUCCUGCAGAAAUCCUCCAGCCCUGUUAGAAAUGCCUCAGCCAGGGGGACUCAUCUCCUCAAACCUGGGGGACCGAGACCUAUGAGAGGUCACAGCAUGAGGUAAAGACCUGUCUGGUCCUUCCCCACUUCCCUAAUCCAUCUGUCUCCCUUGCUAUGUCUCUAAACCUUCUCCAGCCAGGACAUCGGAGGUACCCAGACAUUGUUAUGAAACUCCGCAUGUGCCCCUGGUGGACGCUGCUGGACCCAGCAUGCACACUUCUCGGCUAAGAGUCACCCUGGAUGAACCACCAUUGCCAGCGGGGAGCAUGUUGCAGCUUUCCCACGCAGUGGAUGAGAACGAAGGUUACGACCAUUGUGUGGGAGGCGUCUGUGUAGCAAUUGCUGGAAUCACUGGUGGCAUUGUAGAAAGACUGAGCGUGGGAAAGAAGACGCAUUCUGAAGUCACCCCGAUUUAUGUUAAAUUAUCACCUUGACUACUGCUAUAGAACGAAUGUUUAUGUCCCCCACCCAAAUUCGUAUGCUAAGACCUAAUAGCCAAUAAGAUAGUAUUAAUAGAUGGGGCCUUUGGGAGGUGAGUGGCUCAUGAGGGCAGAGUCCUCAAAACCAGAUAAGUGCCCGAAUAAAAGGGGCCCCAGAGAGAUCCCUUGCACCGUCUACCAUGUGAAGUGUAGAACACAGCGAGAAGGCCACCUAUGAGCCAGAACGUGGGCCCUCACCAGAACCCAGUUGUGCUGGCACCCUGAUCCUGGACUUCCAGCCUCCAAAAUGACGACAAAGAAGUUUGUUUUUCCUGAGCCAUCCACUUCAAAGUAUUCUGUCAUAGCUCCCCAAAUAGACUAAUGCAGAGGAUAAAGCAAGCAAACAAAAAAACUUCCAGAAGAAUCACAGAGUUUUAGACCUAGAAAAAAACUGAAAAAUCAUCCAUUCCACUCUCCUCAUUUUACAGAUGAGGGCAUCGAGCCUCAGAGAAAUGAAACUUGCCCAAGACCACACAGCAAGUGAGUGGGGGACUCAUGACCCAAGACACUUUUUCCAGGCUUCCUUCUACCACAUCAUGCUGCAGAAAACACAGCAGAUGGGAAGAGACGAGGCAUGUGGUUGCCAUUUCUGUAUUACAUCCAAUUCAUAUUUCAUUUAGAAAAUGUAUUUGAGACGUAUUUUAAAGAAUUGGCUCGUGGGAUUGUGGGGCCUGGAAAUCUGAAAUCUGCAGAGAAAGCCAGCAGGCUGGAAAUUCAGG